UUGACUUCGCUGCUUUUUCAACCUACCGUAAAGGAGUUUGGGUAAGGGAGGAUUGCUCUUCCCCCUGGUGUCUUAGUAAGCCGGUAAGCUAAUGACUAAGAGUAUCACCAGUAUGAUGACCCUGUUCAUCAUCACCCUUUCCAUAU
rnacentral:sRNA from 1 species